UACGGAGGAUCCAAGCGUUAUCCGGAUUUAUUGGGUUUAAAGGGUGCGUAGGCGGCCUAUUAAGUCAGGGGUGAAAGACGGUAGCUUAACUAUCGCAGUGCCCUUGAUACUGAUGGGCUUGAAUGUACUAGAGGUAGGCGGAAUGUGACAAGUAGCGGUGAAAUGCAUAGAUAUGUCACAGAACACCAAUUGCGAAGGCAGCUUACUAUGGUUUGAUUGACACUGAGGCACGAAAGCGUGGGGAUCAAACAGG
rnacentral:rRNA from 1 species